AGGAGAGUUGCAGGUCCCAUUACCGUCUGACACAGUAAGAUGCCCAGCGACUUGCUCCAAUUUAAGUAGCAAAGCAACACCGUAAAGAUCUUAAAUAUUUUUAAUAGAGGGGACUUGGCCCACAGGAAACUAGAGUUAGCUUUCUUCUCAGCAGUUCGGAGAAAAUGCUUUUAGCAGAAAAUCCUGCCUGUGGACCAUAUAUUGAAGAUCACGUCGAGAAUAAGUCAAGGUAACAUCGCCGUCCACAGGAGUCUAUGACCUUAAGAAGGAGUAACCACAGAAUACGAAAGGCCCAUUUCAAAGGUCUGGCCUAUAUUUGAUGGUCCAGGUGGAUGGAAGGAGCAGAAAAACUACACUGAGGAGGUUGCUGUGGACAAUAGCAUAUGUGUAGGUGACUGCCUCCAAGGGUUCCUCAGAAAGGAUGCUUAUACGUGCUGCCAACUUCUGGAGGUGUGGGGGAUGGGUAGGGGGAAUGGCAGGGCUUGUUUGCCAUCUGGCUCAAUUACUGAAAAGACUAUGAUCCCUUCCCCACCCACAACUUGGUGUGU